CCUGCCAUACAUUUGGGGAACUAGGGGCCAGCUGAAACGAAGCUAAAACACACCGACAUGAUAACAUUUGUUUUGGUCAAUUAAGUGGAAAAAGGGUGGGAAAAUAAAUGUUUAUACACCCAGCAGAUGUGGAGCCACAAUAGCAUUAAUUUGGAGUCGUGUUUGCGUCCGCUUCACUAAAUCGAUCUGGCGGCCGAUUCCUGCUGCUGAGAUGAGCUCGCCAACUUCUCCCAGAAUGCUUACGAGCCACAGCGGGAUUACCUCUCCAAGCUGUGCAAUAUGUGCACUUCAGAAUAUAGGCUGAUCCAUAAGCAUAUCAGUGACAGGGAGGCAGGACCUGCAACUAAUCCCCAAAUGACAUGAAGGAUUUCCCAAAACUAAUGGCGCGUCAAGGCUGUCCUCAUCAACUUGGAAAUGUGAGGUGGGUGCAGAUGAGUUCUUCAGCAGCAACAAAUCCUUAAGGCACAUGGAGCUCCCGCUGUACCAGGACCUGGGCAGCGCUGCGGUGUGUAACCUCGAAGCAAGACACAUCUCUUUCUCAAGGCUGGAUAAAGAACACGUUUUACUGUAAUGGCUUAUGCAUUUUUAAACAACAUCUCUUGUGCUGAGUGCAAGAGUCUCUGCAUGUAUUUGUUUUGUUUCGUAUCUCGAGUCUCAUCUGUGUCCUGCAGUCCAGUCCAGCGAUUUCAAAAUGUGGAAUACAUAAACCAUGCUCUGAGCUUUGUGUAAGGAGUGUGUGCUUUAUAUAUUUACAAGCUAAAUGUCGAACUGCUCUGCUUGUGCUCUCUGGUUUUAUCGUAUCACUCAUAUCUUUCUUCUUCUUCUUCUCAGUGUUUUUUUUUAUUCAGGUGCAUCUGGAAAUCACCUUUUGAAUUCAAUCCUACUGUCUUGCUUGUUUUGCCUGAAUUUUCCAAAUGCACCACCAAGAAGAUGACAUGUUUUGUUUUGAUUGAAAUACUGGGAUUUAUGACCAAAUACCUGCAAACAUU